ACUCGCCUAUUGGCUCCGAAGAUGGCGCCGCACCGCCUCAUUGGCCGGCGGGGGGCCCGCCCCCGCGUGACGCACGGAUGGUUCUGGAAGAGUUUGGUUGGUCGUACCCAGGGACUUGCUGGUGAGCCUUCUGAUGCACUGGGUAUUUGCCAGUCUUCUGAAACCAUAGACUAGAUAGCAACAGUACACUGAAUGAAGAGCAUCUUUAGAUGAUCAGAGGUUGAUCUUGAGGUUCUCCUCCUGCUCUCUGUCCAGCCCACCAAACCCAGGUUUUCCAUGAGAGAAGUGAGAAUGCACAAAUGCUGCAGAACCUAGACAAACAAAAGUACUUCAUGCAGAGAUGGGAAGGCUGUAAUCUGUGACUAUUAAGCUGUGACAGCUUGCCAGAACUUCUCCUGCAAGGACCUACUGAUGGAGUUUUUCUAAAGAGGCUUCAUAAAAGAAGCAGCAGCAGCAAACUGAGUGACCCUACAGGUGCAAGCUGCAGCAGCUGUCUCUCCAGUAUUCCCAAUAAGAUUUGUUGAAAUUCUCUGGAUCGCAACGUCUUUAUUGGUAAUGGAUCCCUCCCUUAAUUUGCACUGAUGCAUUUGGAAUGUCAGCUUCCAAAACAAGGCACAUGGGAGGCAUUUAAAGUAGAUUUUUUGAAAGGAAAAUGAACAAAGAGCAUGUCAGGUUCCAUUUUGAUUUGCAUGACAAAUCCAGCAUGCAGUGUUCUGGUGGGUCGGGCUGGGCGUGCCUGCCACUCACUGCAUUUCUCACUUUGGUUUGAUCACUUCUGACAGUCCGUUAUGUUAAUUGUGCUAAGGAUUGUUUUGCUGGGGGAAGAAAAGGAAAGGCAUUUUUAUGUUUGUACUUCUUCCAUUUACAGGAAAGGAGGGAUAUCUGAGGGAACAGAAAAUAUUUUCAACUAGUUUGUGAUUUAUUUUAUUUGUAAAUAAUCCUGUGAGGUCAUCAACAAGUUCCGUAUUUUAAAUCUUAUUGUUACUCACUCCGUGCACGUGUUUUUGAGUGGGAAAUACUAAGGCCCUAAACUAGAAACUUGGGGAGUCUAUUGUUUUGGUGCACACCAGUCUUUCUUCCUGAGUCUCCCAGUGAUGGGUCCUGCAGAGUGGUUUGCGCUAUGCCUAUAUGCUUCUAUCGGAUGAUAUUGUGGUGCUUUGACAAGUGCUAACAAGGGAUUUAAUGCCCUAAGAGGCACUGUUGGACACACAUUGUCAUCGGCAUGUGGAUAGUAUGUGAAUAACUCUCAUGUGUCAAAGACCUGUUGGUAGAUCUAUGCAUAUGACAGAAUUCUCGAGGAGGCCCAAUUCAAGGUGGAGGUGGCUGUUGCCCCUUAGCGUACAUGUACUUCUCCAUCAUACAUGUUAAAACAGUCAUGGAUUGCUUAGUAGUGAGUUUUUGAGUUUCAGAGUUCCUAACUGACUACAGGUGGCAGAACACUGUAAGCUGAUCACAAAUCAAUAUUUUCAGACUGAUAAAAUGAUCAACCAUAAAGUUUCAGAAGACUCUGUUGCUUACGUUUCUGUCUCUCUUUUGCGGUUACUGCUGGUUUUCAGCCAAAGGAGAGCUUAGUGCUUACAGAAUGAGGAGGGCAAGAAGAUAGCAAUAGAAUUUUCCAGAGGUAAUGACUGACAUCUACCUUUUAAGCUCUGAACUCCUACCAUGCAUGUUGUGAUAUAAGUGCACCAUGACAGAUAAGCUCUAAAUACAGAAUGCUUUUAUAUAGUAUAAAAUCAUGCAAUCAGAUGCAGAAAUAGCAAAAUAAAUGAAGUUAAACAAUCAAGUACAGUAUUUCAAAUCACAUUUUUGCUUAGCAAUUCAGUAUGCUAAUGCUACUUUUCAUGACCAGUGUAGUCCUCCUUAAGUACUAUUUUAGUAAAGUCUGCGGACUCACACAAGAAUCGGUUUGAGCUGGUGCAUCUCAAAAAAAGUCAAAUCCAAUAUAAUUAAUAAGUGUUAUGAUAAUUAAUAAUAUUCUUACACCACCGCUUUAAGAAGGAUUACCUGUUGAGCUGCUUGACUGAAAG